ACACCCCCCCCCCCCCCCCCCCCCCCCCCCCCGCCUCCUCCUUACUACUAUAAAUCCCCACCACCUCCUUCCCCAUCUCCGCCUCCACCAUACUACUACAAGUCCCCACCCCCACCAUCACCAUCUCCGCCUCCACCGUACUACUACAAAUCUCCCCCGCCUCCAUCACCAUCACCACCCCCUCCAUACUACUAAAUAUCUCCACCUCCUCAGUCACCAGGGCGUGGUUUACGCAAGACCCCCCCCCCCCCCCACCCCCACCCCCCCCCCCUCCAUAUUACUACAAGUCUCCACCCCCACCAUCACCAUCUCCCCCGCCCCCGUAUUACUACAAGUCUCCCCCUCCUCCAUCGCCAUCACCGCCUCCUCCUUACUACUACAAGUCCCCUCCUCCUCCGUCACCAUCUCCACCACCACCAUACUACUACAAAUCUCCUCCACCACCAUCUCCCUCACCACCUCCACCAUACUACUACAAGUCUCCACCUCCUCCGUCACCAUCUCCACCACCACCAUACUACUACAAAUCUCCUCCACCACCAUCUCCCUCACCACCUCCACCACACCCCUACAAGUGUCUACUACAAAUCUCCCCCACCACCAUCUCCCUCACCUCCACCACCGUACUACUACAAGUCCCCUCCCCCUCCAUCUCCCUCACCACCACCACCAUACUACUACAAAUCUCCCCCACCACCAUCUCCCUCACCUCCACCACCGUACUACUACAAGUCCCCUCCCCCUCCAUCUCCCUCACCACCACCACCAUACUACUACAAAUCUCCCCCACCACCAUCUCCCUCACCUCCACCACCGUACUACUACAAGUCCCCUCCCCCACCAUCACCCUCACCACCACCACCAUACUACUACAAGUCUCCCCCACCACCAUCUCCUUCACCUCCACCACCGUACUACUACAAGUCCCCUCCCCCUCCAUCUCCCUCACCACCACCACCGUAUUACUACAAAUCUCCACCACCUCCUUCCCCAUCGCCGCCACCUCCUUACCACUACAAGUCUCCCCCACCACCAUCACCAUCUCCACCACCACCAUACUACUACAAGUCCCCUCCUCCUCCCUCACCGUCACCACCACCACCAUACUACUACAAGUCCCCACCACCACCAUCGCCAUCACCCCCUCCUCCAUACCACUACAGCUCACCUCCCCCACCGGUGAAAUCACCACCACCACCGGCAUACAUCUACUCAUCUCCCCCACCACCAACCCACUACUAGGCUCAAACGCCUCGGCAACACACCACCAAUGUAAGUUCCAUAAUCAUUUCUCCAUUCCAUCAAACUCUAUAUUUCAUUCCUUAACAGCUUUUCUAACAGUACUACUUUCCAUUUCAGAUUUAAGAAUUGACGAUGUAAUAAAAGAAGGCUCCAAUCAUGGUCUGAUAAACCCAACAUCAUCAAUUAGUGCCAAUAAUAACAACAGCCGAUAUGGUUCAGUAUGCAGAGUUGCUAUCCUGCACAUGGCAAUCUUGCUGUGUUCAUCAUCAUCAUCAUCAUCAAGUGGAGUUUUGUUCAAGAAGACGACAUUUGGGAAAUUAAGCAACUAUUCUUAGUUAUCGGAUUUGAUGAUCAAUUGGGUUUGUUCAGAGUUUAUUUGUUUAGUUGAUGUAUGUAAAAUCUAUUUGUUAUUUAGUUUUCCAGCUUUAAUUUUUUGUUGGGGAGGAUUUGGGAAAUGCGUGCUUAAUUAUGUUAUGGAAAUGCUAAUAUUAUAUAAAUUAUUCAAUGUUUAUGUUUGGGGAAGCAACGCAACGCAACGCAAAAUUGAUGUAAUUGCAAUUUUUUAUUGGAGCUUCUUCUACUUAUGUUUGACCUCCCUGCAGAUUGCGAGUAAUAAAGUAAACCCAUUUCAUAUUCUGAUUUUUCGAUUCAAUUUCGAUCGAAAUUACUUACUCACAAAUAAACUUCACUUAGCUUCAAUCUUUAGUAGGCCACUACUGAUCACGACUAUCUUUACAUUGCCUAAAUCGUUCAGAAAUUUGAAUCAGACCGGC
rnacentral:lncRNA from 1 species